UACGGGGGGGGCAAGCGUUAUCCGGAUUCACUGGGUUUAAAGGGUGCGUAGGUGGGUCUGUAAGUCCGUGGUGAAAUCUCCGAGCUUAACUUGGAAACUGCCAUGGAUACUAUAGAUCUUGAAUACUGUGGAGGUUAGCGGAAUAUGUCAUGUAGCGGUGAAAUGCUUAGAUAUGACAUAGAACACCAAUUGCGAAGGCAGCUGGCUACACAAAUAUUGACACUGAUGCACGAAAGCGUGGGGAUCAAACAGG
rnacentral:rRNA from 1 species